UAGAAACAUGGUAGAUGUUAAUUCAU
rnacentral:piRNA from 1 species